UACCCCCGUGGUGUAAUGGAUAACACGUAAGAUUCCGGUUCUUGAGAUGGGAGUUCGAUUCUCUCCGGGGGUGUC
rnacentral:tRNA from 1 species